rnacentral:lncRNA from 1 species
AACAUGAAGUUCUUACAAGUUGUCCUACUCGCUCUAGUGGCGCUCGUGGCUUCUGUGGCUGCAGGGAUAAGUGCAAUCCCGAAUGUACAGAACCCUGUGGUGGUCGGGCGCAUCAGCGUUCCCUACAACUGUCCUCCUGGUGAGGAGAUGAGUGUGGAUAAAGUUUGCCGUGAACCCUGGUAGACUGCGGCUGCAGUCGCUCAUGCUGGACUCCAGCAGAUGAUAAACUUGCAAAUAAAUGACUGAAUAAAACUGUG